UCUUCGAAGAGAACAAAGAUCAGAGUAUAUAGCAAAUACAAUUCGCCGCAUAUUAGAUUUUCUCAAUAUAUAAUCACCGCUCCUCGUGGAACUCGUCCCUAGAAGGGGGGGUAAUGUCACGGACAUACAUAUAAUUACCUAUAUGAAUAGAUAAAAGUAUGUAAAAGUAGAUAAAAGUAGGUUAAUUGUGUAAUAUCUUCUAGAGAAGCUUCUUAGAAGCUUCAUAGACGCUU
rnacentral:lncRNA from 1 species